AGAAGUCAGGUUGCAUGAAACACUACUGGCCGAAAAUCCCACUUUUCUUAUCCCCUCUUUUGUGCGCACCAUUGGAGAAAUAUCAAGUCUGAGUUUUGUUCUUCCUUGCUGAACUUUAGUCCAGAUUGUGAGACCAUAGCAUUCCUUCUCUUUUCUUCCCAUGCGCUGUACAAGGAAGCCUCAAGGCUAAUUAUUGAUCUCUAUUCAAAACCUCAUGGAGUUCCCCCCAUCCACUUCCUAAGUUGCGAACCCCAUGGGUGAUGACCAAGAACCCAGAAAUUUCAUUCCAUUCUCUCAUGCACUCCACAUACCUUGAACCCCUAAGACAAGAACUCCGUCUCCUUGCUGUCGGCUGAAGGUACACCUCCAGGAGGGGAGGCGCUAAUUUUGCGGUCUUUCUUGUUGUCGUUGCUCUGUGUGAUUUGAUGGAGUGCUCACUGCAUGAAGCUCGAAAUCCAGAGUUUCCUCAUCGUCUUUCUGCCUCUCUUAUGUUCAGCCGAAGACCUUCAUUCAAAGAGGUAAAGCAAUUUCCUCCCCUUGUUCAACGCGAAUUAAACCAGUUCUGAUUAAGUUUUGUUUCGUUCCACUGCAUGCCCAUGACUCGGCUGUGGUUGAGUCUCUCUUUCCCUUGUAUAUAAUUGGAAUCGGUCCCUUGGAGCAGUGGAUGAAGGAAGUUGUUGUCCAUGAGUGAAAGUUAGUUGUGUAUUCUUGAAAAGAGGUGCACAUAAACCUUGAAUGUGGGCUGAGUUUGCUGCUGUUUGAUUUAUAUUUGGGCACACGAGGGAGACGAAAAAGGAUUUUUGAUGAAGUGUUUAAUUUGGACAUGUUCUGCUUGUUUGUUGCUGCUUUGGAAAUUAUAUUGUUGUCCACCGUUUCUGCUAGCUGAUGACUGAUUAAUGAUGUUGAUUUAAUAUUUUGUGAUAUCGGAAAAAUGUCAGAACCUGUCUUAAAUUGGUGUAGUCUGAGACUUUAUGGUCAGCACUUAACUUGCACUAU